UGUUCGUAAUAGCCAGAAAGUGAAACAACCCAAAUGUCUACAGCUGAUGAAUGGGUCACUGAAAUGAGCUCUGAUGACACAAUGGGGUAUGACCACGUGCCAUGUGGUGGAAGGGAGCGCUGAUCCGUGCCACAGGGUAGACGCCCCUUGAGAACGUGCUGAGAGGAAAGCGCCAGCACAGAGGCCACCUAUGGUGCGAUUCCACUGAUACACAACGUCCAGAACAGAAUCACUCUGCUACACGGAUGUCCCUGGAGUUUCGAUUCCUAAAUCAGCAGUCUUCCACUCCGCAUCCGCGCCCCCGCAGUGCCCCGCCUGGCACGGGCAGGGGUGCCUCCCAGACAACGGAAACCAGACGAGGGCCAGGCCAGGCAGACACACCGGGCAGCCACUGAACUGCUGGGCCAAGACCUCCAGCCUCCCAAACCCAGAUUCCUGGUCCUAGGAGACGGCUUUCUCAGCUGCAGCCCAGACUCCGCGCUAAUCCGAAGAGCUGACCGUCUGCUGUUGACAGGCCAGCUUGAGUGAGGUAUGAUCUGCGCACGUGAACAGUUUGACAAGAGCAGUGUCAUGAGCUUUGCUGCGUGUACACCUGUGCGGCGAUCACAUCCAUUACGCCAAAGGGUAUUUCUAGCACCCCAUAAGACCCCAAUCAUAUCCCAGCACGAGACUCCAGGGAUCACUGACCUGCUUUCUAUCACUGUUGCUCAGUUUUACCUUUUUAAAAAGUUCAAAUCAAUGGGAUGGUAUAGUAAGUAUAAACUCAGUAAGUCUGGCUUCCUUCACUCAGCAAGAGAGACCCUUUCAUGUUUCCAAGCACCGCCGCUGCCGCGCAUUACACUGCGUGGAGACGCCACGGUCCACGUAUCCCUUCACCUGCUGACAGGCACCUGAGUUGUUCCUGCUCUCAGACUGUUAGAAUAAGGCUCUACAAACAUUCCUGUACAAGUCUUCAUGAGACCACAUUUUCUCUUGGGUUUCUCUUAGAUUAAAUACCGAGGAAUGGAACUGCAGGGUCACACCGUAAGUGUGUACAAAGCUACCAAACCAUUUCCAAAGUGGCCGUACCACUUGCUACUCCCAGGGGCAACAGGCCUGGCUGCUCUGCAUCUCUGCCAGCAGUCAGGAUGGUCAGUCUGCUUAAUUUUAGCCAUUUUAUUGGGUGCCCAGUGGUAUCUCACUGCAGUCUUGAAACCGCCUUUACAGAAUUUUAAGUAACGAGAGAAAUCUACAUUACUGACUCCACCUUGCUUCUAACCUCACAGGAUCUUUUCUUUUUUUUUUUUUUUUUUUUUUUGCUUAUUCUAAUACAGAGGCCAAGAUAACUAUGAGAGGAAUGUAGUUUAUAGUUAAACUUCAAGGCAAGGAAAAAUGACACCCGUCCUUGUUUGGAGAUUAAGACUGGCAUUGCUACAGGGGCCUGAACUUUGCUAAAGAACAGGCACGGGUAAACCAUGACCUGUCACUGCUUACUUAGCUUGCUCUUCUACAGUGCCUGCUACCCGGAGUCACGUAACCAGACGUUGUCAGAUUCGGAACUUCCCUAACGGCUCCUACAGACAUCACUGCUGUGAAACCUAAAAAACUGGUCUUUGGGAUAUUUUUCAGAUUUAGCAUUUCAGCAGAUCAAGAGAUGCCACCUGGACUUGUGACCCCAUCUCCCAGGAACUGACUCAGCUGCACGGAGACAGUCCUGACACCCCUAUCAUUGCAUCCCCAACACAACCAACCAGCAUUCACCACUCCCUAGGCCGCUGCCCGCCAAAACACCCUCAAGCCCUCGCCUCCUAAUUCUCAGGGAGACAGAUGUGAGAGUUAUCUCGCGUCCACCUCCCUCGGCUGGCUCUGCAAUCAUUAAACUCCCUCUCUGCUGCCACACCUGCCGUUCUCAGUGCAUUGGCUUUCUGGGCAGCAAGAAGAACCCUGUUGGGCGAUUACAGUCUUAAUUUGCAUUCCCCUAAUAACUAACAAUGUUGACCAUC
rnacentral:lncRNA from 1 species